rnacentral:rRNA from 1 species
UACGUAGGGGGCAAGCGUUGUCCGGAAUCAUUGGGCGUAAAGCGCGUGUAGGCGGCUAGGUAAGUCUGCUCUGAAAGCCCGGGGCUCAACCCCGGGAGGCGGGUGGAUACUGUCUAGCUCGAGUCCGGAAGAGGAGUGUGGAAUUCCUGGUGUAGCGGUGAAAUGCGCAGAUAUCAGGAGGAACACCAAUUGCGAAGGCAGCACUCUGGGACGUGACUGACGCUGAGACGCGAAAGCGUGGGGAGCAAACAGG